CUGCGAUCUUUCGCAAGGCUGAGGAAGACAUUUCCUGCUGAGCCUCAUCUCCGAAACUGUAACUCAAAACUCUUAAAAUGUCAUCGCAGAGUAACAGAAGUUGGGUUUUGUAAGGUAAUAACCGACUGAUAUAAAUAUAUUUUUUGUGAUCAAUGUAGACUUUAAUAUCUCUCUAUAAUAAAUAUAUACUAAAUCCAGAUGGAUAUAUAACCGAUAACACUGGAGCAUUACUGUGUCCAUCACUAUAUCCAAAAUAAAACCGUAGAGCAUUGAAAAGAAUCACUUUCAAAUGUGUCUACAGGUCGGUAUAAUUGUGUAAAAAAAGUUAUAAAUUAUGUAGAAACAAAUAUAUUAUUAAACACAUAUUCAAAUUUGUUACAGAAUAUAUAGUACAAUGGGUGGAACAAAUUCCGCCCAUAUGCACUUCUUUCAGAAAAAUAAAUAAUUUUGAUCUGAAAAAAAUAUUUAUAACUUACCAUUAUAUAAUAUCAAUCAUAACAAUAUCUCUUGUUAAUAUAAAAUAACACAGACUAUAACAGUUUUAAUUCGUCACGACACACAAGGGAACCUGAUACGCCACUUAAACCGGCUGAAACUAGUUCGGACCGGAUGAGAGCGGUUUUAGUUACUUUGAAAAUUGAUCUAACUUCAUGUUACAUUUAAUUCCGCAAGUUGCUUUCUAUGUUUCAUUUAGUUCUUAAUUGUAUGACAUUUGAAUUUCAAAUGCAAAACUUACGUUUGAACAAUAGUAACUAUUAUUAAGUUAAAAGUAUAU
rnacentral:misc_RNA from 1 species